ACUCGAAGUUCCGACCCAGAUCACUGUGCACUCUUUGUGGUGCACCAUAACCACACACCCAGUCAGUGCUCUUUCUGCUGCCUUGUGUUUCUCCCCACUCAGGUUGCCUUCAGGUAAAGAGGGGCGGAGCCACUUCAUUUGAUGUUGUGCACCUGGGCACACAGGGCCUCAGUAUUUAAAGUGGCUUCUUAUUGUCUGUCUCUCGUCAACACUACACACAUUCACCAUUACAAUCACCACUGAUUUACAGUUUGCACAUUCUUUGAUUAGGAGGAUUUUCCUGGGUUGUGAGAAAAUGGGGGUUUGUCUGACUUCUGAACUUGGAUUUGGCUUGAUACUUGGUAGUUGUAAAUCUAAUUAGUUGUGUAUCAGAUUGUUUGUGUAGUUUGUUUGGAACUUGAUCUGUGCAGAGUGGUGACUAGGUCAGUGGUCUUCAGGGAUGGUGUCCGAGUUUGGGAGACGCCUCGAGCUCGACAAGCCAUUGAAGAAGUGAGGCUUAGUGCGUCCCCCACAGCACCGCGAUCAGUUUAGACAUCCUGAAGACGAUCGAGGAGAACUUGGAGAUGGAGGAAUGGGUGAAACCUGCCGACGGCUCGCGCCCACUCGAAACAAAGUGGAGGA